UUUCCUCCUGUGUCAUGGAGUGCACUGUAGCGUGGAUCUCGGUUUCACUGCACAUUUGUCAUCGAUUUACCGUGCGUCUCUCUCUUCAUGCUAAGGAACACGGCAUCUUACAUUCGGCAUCAGUCACCCUGGUAUCCAGGUCUGUCUCCAUUACAGCAACACGGCACUAUAAUUAGCCAGGUAUCUCCGGCAGUAAUGAUGAGUGGGAGACGAGGCUGGCAUCUACCUGCUAAGGGCUGGAGACGCCGGGCUCUGGAGCCAGAGUAGCACGCCGAGGAACCACGCCGCUCAUCAAACGGGAUAAUUAGAGUGUGUAUGGAGAUGUGAUUCCAGGUAGGAGGUGACACGGAGCACGGGAGAGGACAUGGUCUGCACACUCACCACCUUUCCUCAAACACUAAAUGGACCAGGACCGACGUCGGAGGCUGAGCAAGACAAGGGGCGACGGCAGAAGGACAAGAUAUCGCUCGGCUCCCGUGUAUUUUAUAAAAUAGACAAAAGGAGAACCAGAAAUAAUAAGAGCAAAGAAAGAUUUAGUGGCAACAUCAAAUGCCGCACAGUAAGAGCAGGACGUACAGAUAUAUAAAGGCACAACUAUCACAUCUCAAUGCACUCAAGGUGUGGUUGUUUGGUGUCUAGGACUUGGUGCAGUACGGAGACUGACGGAUGACCUCAUGCAGUAAUUCCCCAGUGGUGUGUCCUUCCCUUUGAGAGAGACAGAGGAAGAACAACAGAAAGAAAGACGUACGUACGGACAGACAGACAAACACGCUCAGGACGAUGAUGUUUAAGGUGACGGGGAUGAUGGUGGCGGCUCGUCCAUGUAAAUCCCAUAUCUGCUGUUUGCACAGCCUGAAAACCACAGCGUCCCUCCCCCAGACGGCCGCCCGACACGUCUGCGCCGGUCAGCGGGAUACAAGACGCACUCACGCGCCAUUCCAGCAAACAAACCAACAAGUGUUGCCAUAGUAAUUGCAGCGAAUGGUAGAUAAGCGCCAGGAGAAAACACGGCGUCGUGGAAGAAGACCUCUGCGCAAGCUUUACAGUCGGAAUUCCAGGCACGUGUGACAAGCACCACAUGGAUCCACCUCACAUUUGACGUGAAGACGCUAAAGCCACUGCAGGUCCUCGCCACGAAGAUCAAGCUCGGCUUGAAAGAUAUUUCUCUUUAAUAUUCUGAAACUGGGUAAUCUCACCAUGAUAAUGGUCACGGGCCAAAUCAACGAGUUCCAGUAGAGGUUAGUUCACAAC
ensembl:lncRNA